UACGAGGGGGGUAAGCGUUGUUCGGAAUUAUUGGGCGUAAAGGGCGCGUAGGCGGUUUGACAAGUCUGAUGUGAAAUCUAUGGGCUCAACCCAUAGCCUGCAUUAGAAACUGUCGGGCUUGAGUAUGGGAGAGGUGGGUGGAAUUUCCGGUGUAGCGGUGAAAUGCGUAGAUAUCGGAAGGAACACCUGUGGCGAAAGCGGCUCACUGGACCAUAACUGACGCUGAGGCGCGAAAGCUAGGGGAGCAAACAGG
rnacentral:rRNA from 1 species